GACGAACGCUGGCGGCGUGCUUAACACAUGCCAGUCGAACGGUGAAGCUCCAGCUUGCUGGAGUGGAUCAGUGGCGAACGGGUGAGUAACACGUGAGCAACCUGCCCCAGACUCUGGAAUAAGCGCUGGAAACGGCGUCUAAUACUGGAUACGAGAUCAAGCCGCAUGGUUAUGGUCUGGAAAGUUUUUCGGUUUGGGAUGGGCUCGCGGCCUAUCAGCUUGUUGGUGAGGUAAUGGCUCACCAAGGCGACGACGGGUAGCCGGCCCGAGAGGGCGACCGGCCACACUGGGACUGAGACACGGCCCAGACUCCUACGGGAGGCAGCAGUGGGGAAUAUUGCACAAUGGGCGAAAGCCUGAUGCAGCGACGCCGCGUGAGGGAUGACGGCCUUCGGGUUGUAAACCUCUUUCAGCAGGGAAGAAGCGAAAGUGACGGUACCUGCAGAAGAAGCACCGGCUAACUACGUG
rnacentral:rRNA from 1 species